UACGUAGGGGGCUAGCGUUGUCCGGAUUUAUUGGGCGUAAAGAGCGUGUAGGCGGCCAGAUAGGUCUGCUGUGAAAACCUAAGGCUCAACCUUGGGCUUGCAGUGGGUACGGGCAGACUAGAGUGUGGUAGGGGAGACUGGAAUUCCGUGGUGUAGCGGUGGAAUGCGCAGAUAUCAGGAGGAACACCGAUGGCGAAGGCAGGUCUCUGG
rnacentral:rRNA from 1 species